UACGGGGGGGGCAAGCGUUGUUCGGAAUUACUGGGCGUAAAGGGCUCGUAGGCGGCCAACUAAGUCGGAUGUGAAAUCCCCAGGCUUAACCUGGGAACUGCAUCCGAUACUGGAUGGCUUGAAUCCGGGAGAGGGAUGCAGAAUUCCAGGUGUAGCGGUGAAAUGCGUAGAUAUCUGGAGGAAUACCGGUGGCGAAGGCGGCAUCCUGGACCGGCAUUGACGCUG
rnacentral:rRNA from 1 species